GCAUGCAUGUGUAAGUAUAAAUAAUUUUACUUUGAAACUGCGAAUGGCUCAUUAUAUCAGUUAUAGUUUAUUAGAAAUACUUUACUACUUGGAUAACCGUAGUAAUUCUAGGGCUAAUACAUGAAUAAAUCCUCAACUUCGGAAGAGGUGUGUUUAUUAGUAUGAAAACCAUAUAUCUUCGGAUAUAAUAGUGAGUAAUAAUAACCUUUCAUAUCGUAUGUCGUAAGAUAACGAUAGUUCUUUCAAGUUUCUGCCCUAUCAGCUUUCGAUGGUAGUAUAUGGGACUACCAUGGCAGUAACGGGUAACGAAGAAUUUGGGUUCGAUUUCGGAGAGGGAGCCUGAGAGAUGGCUACCACAUCCAAGGAAGGCAGCAGGCGCGUAAAUUACCCAAUCCUGACAUAGGGAGGUAGUGACAAUAAAUCACAAUGCGGAACUAUUUAGUUUUGCAAUUGGAUUGAGAACAAUGUACAAAUGUUAUCGAUAAACAAUUGGAGGGCAAGUCUGG
rnacentral:rRNA from 1 species